AUUGAACGUUGGCGGCGUGGAUUAGGCAUGCAAGUCGUACGGGUCGGUGUAGCAAUACAACGGCAAGUGGCGAAAGGGAGAGUAACGCGUAGAUACCUACCCUCUGGUCGGGGAUACCGCGGCAUAACCGCAAGUAAUACCCGAUAAUAUCUCCGGAUCAAAGGUGUGAUUCCGCCGGAGGAGGGGUCUGCGUUUCAUCAGCUUGUUGGUGAGGUAACGGCUCACCAAGGCUAAGACGAAUACGGGGUGUGAGAGCAUGCCCCCGCUCACUGGGACUGAGACACGGCCCAGACACCUACGGGUGGCUGCAGUCGAGAAUCUUCGGCAAUGGGCGCAAGCCUGACCGAGCGACGCCGCGUGCGGGAUGAAGGCCUUCGGGUUGUAAACCGCUGUCGAGGGGGAUAAAGUGCAGGUGGGUUCUCCCAUUUGUUUGAUAGAUCCCUGGGGGAAGCAUGGGCUAAGUUCGUGCCAGCCGCCGCGGUAACAC
rnacentral:rRNA from 1 species